GGACAUUGUCAGAAACCGCCUAAAAACCGCCCAAAAACAUUAACCCAUCAUAAUUAUUUUCUAUUUUUUUUAAUACAUUAAGCACCCUUUCAUUCUAAUGGACACUUAAGCAUUGAAAAAUUAAAUUAAUAAGUCUUUUAACGUUUAUUCUAUAAUACUAUUACAACUUCCGGACGUUUUGGUGCGUGGCAUGGUCUAAAACCUAUCAAGUUCCAUAAUUUUUGCCGAUAAAAUCUGUACGAGGCAUUACCGUACUUUAUUGCUGGGAGUCCAUGUAUAGUGAUGUUCCUGCGGCCAUCAUAGACAAUAAAAUAUCGAUUUUGAAAAUAAAAUAAAUCGAUUAAACUGCUUUGAAGACUAGAUUUGCGUUAAAAGCUAAAAAGAUAUUGACACUAUUACAAGAAGCUAUCUAAAAUGUCCAACUGGUCGAAGGUCGUAAAUAAAAUAAAAAUAAUUAGGACCAUAAACUGAUAUUCAUGGUAUCAUAACUGUAAAAGUGUCAGAAUCCGAUGUUGAAUCCAAUGCCAGUUGAAGUGAGAGAAACAUAAAUAUCAACCUAGUAUAGUUGCCAGUCUCUCAUGAUCUAUGCCAAUGAGGGUUUUCGCGAUUGAAAAAUCCGCCAGAUGGCAAUACGUAGACGUGAGGUCCAAAUGCUGCAUGAUUGGUUAUUUUUGACAUGACAUUGACAGAUAUGUCAAAAUCCACCAAUCAUGCAGCAUUUGGACCUCGCGUCUACGUAUUGCCAUCUCGCGGAUUUUUCAAUCGCGAAAACCCUCAUUCAUAGCAUAUGUAUAAUAAUAGACCAAAUGAACUUUUAUAGAUUGUGAAAGAGAAGAUAAAGAUUUUAUUAUUUUAUUAAAAUCUUGCCACGAGGUAGUUUUUCAGUAGAAACCAGGAUUGGAUAAUCGCUACAGGCAAGUAUCAGUACAUUUUAUAAAUAUUUUUAAUCGAUUAUAUCCUUGUGAAUCGUUUUAAUAAAUCCUCAUUUUACUUUUUCAAUUAAAACUUUUUCAAUCCCUAGUCUUGUCAAACUGUCAUAAUGUCAACAAAUUAUAAAUGUCACGUCAGUUGACUCAAUUUCAGUCUUCUAAAGAAAACCAAUGUGGUGCCCUUAUUAUUCAUACUGUUUGAAAGUUACAAGUCAGUGAUACAGAGUUGCCGCCAUUAUAACUCCGUAGUGAUACCAUACCAAAGAAGAAGUUUUCCUAAACACUUGUGUUAUUUUUAUAUGUGAUCAAAUAAAAAGGAUUAAUUCUACUGCUCAAAUGGAAUAACUUAUCCCAAGAGACCGAAUAUAAAAAAAAAACCUCUCCAUAGAAAUUAUCACCAUCACGAGGAUGUGAAUUUUUUUGAGAAUUUGAUAUUGGUCCUGUAAGAAAAGUAGUUGUAUUUCAGUAGUAGAAUCAACCCUUCUUGUUUCAUCAGCAAGAGUAACUAUAAAAACGCCCUGUAGGUAGGUAUUAUUAAGCUGAAGAGUUUGUUUAGUGUCAAAGACUGUCACACAGUGUAACUUAAAUUGACAUAUUAUGAUAAUGAACAUAAAAACUUAAAUAAAUAUUUAUGUUAAUAUUUUUUCUAUUUAUUUAUUUUCCCAAAGCUUCACAGUGACAGCUGAAACAGCAAUAGAUACUGUUGUAAAACUAAACUUAGAACAAACUGUUACAAAUAUUUUACAAAUUAAAAUAAAAACGCAUGUUGCUUUACUUUCUCGUAUAGGUAAUAAAUGUAAUUAAUGGCUAGAUUAUUAAUGUUACUUUGUUACCCUCAAUAGUGAGGAGAUCUUAUAAAA